AUCGUGCCAGAGAAGACUCAAAAGAGUGUCAAGAUUGCUCCUGGAGCAGCUGUAUGUGUAGAAAGUGAAAUCGGAGGAGAUAUAACUAUGGGACCCAGGACACUGAUCCACCCUAAAGCACGAAUUAUUGUGGAAGCCAGGACAAUAGCGAUUGGUGAAAGUAACCUAAUAGAAGACAGGCCUUUAUCAUAAAUGCUCACCCAGAUAAUAUCACUCCUGACACCAAAGAUCCAGAACCCAAACCUAUGAUGAUUGGCACCAAUAAUGUGUUUGAAGUUGACUGUUAUUCCCAAACCAUGAAAAUGGGAGAUAAUAAUAUCACUGAAUCAAAAGCAUAAUGUAGGCAGAAAUGUAAUAUUGACUAGUGGUUGCAUCACUGGGGCUUGUCGCAACUUAAAUACUUUUGAAAUCACCCCAGAGAAUAUGGUGAUCUAUGGUGCAGACUGCCUUCGUCGGGUGCAGACUGAAGGAUCACAGCCCCAGACACUACAGCUGGAUUUCUUGAUGAAAAUCUUGCCAAAUUACCACCAUCUAAAGAAGACUAUAAAAGGAAGCUCAACUCCAUUUAAGAACUGAGAACAACGUAUGAUGUCAAGAUAACACUUCGUCUCUGACCACCAUCUUUUGAAAGGGCCAUGGUGUUGGUGUACUCUUAGCAGCUCACAGAACAAUACAUGUUGACUUAUUUUAUGAAGCUGAGUUAGAGAGGAAAGUAAUGGAUUUUCAUUUUAACUAUCCUCUAUAAUUUAUGUAAAAUGUAUUAUUUUCCUAUAUCCUUCCUUCUUUUAAGAUAAUUUACAGAUUUAGUUUUUCUUUUGUUAUAUAUACUAUUAGCCACAAACUUCAGUUAUGUAAAAUAUUACCCGUGAUAAGGGCAUAUUGUUAUGUGUUUAUAUUCUAGUGUAUUCUAAACUAAAUAAAAAUGCUGAU